rnacentral:rRNA from 1 species
AUUGAACGCUGGCGGCAUGCUUUACACAUGCAAGUCGAACGGCAGCGCGGGCUUCGGCCUGGCGGCGAGUGGCGAACGGGUGAGUAAUGCAUCGGAACGUGCCCAGUCGUGGGGGAUAGCCCGGCGAAAGCCGGAUUAAUACCGCAUACGACCUGAGGGUGAAAGCGGGGGACCGAAAGGCCUCGCGCUAUUGGAGCGGCCGAUGGCGGAUUAGCUAGUUGGUGGGGUAAAGGCUUACCAAGGCGACGAUCCGUAGCUGGUCUGAGAGGACGACCAGCCACACUGGGACUGAGACACGGCCCAGGCUCCUACGGGAGGCAGCAGUGGGGAAUUUUGGACAAUGGGGGCAACCCUGAUCCAGCCAUGCCGCGUGCGGGAAGAAGGCCUUCGGGUUGUAAACCGCUUUUGUUCGGGAAGAAAUCCUCUGGGCUAAUACCCCGUGGUGAUGACGGUACCGGAAGAAUAAGCACCGGCUAACUACGUG